rnacentral:sRNA from 1 species
AAAGUUGUUUAGCUUGUUUAGAUCUACAUUUUGACAUGAUUUCAGUAAUUUCUGGGUUUGUGUUCUUACUUAUGUUGCUUGAGUAGUGAUUAGGGUUCUUGAGGAUGAAUUAGAUUAGGGUAAUCUCUCGGUUAGUCAGGUGGUUAAGAUUAAGUUAGAUCCCUUCUAAAUUCGUUGGCCCCUAUGCGGUUUUCGCUGGCUAAUGUGGAAAUUCGACCAUAGGUAUCCAGCAUCCAAAAGAUGUUCAAAUGGAUGCCUGAUCUACGAAUUCGAGAGAUUUGUAGACUCUAGCCCAAGAGAUUGGAUAGACUGCAUAUUGACUUUGGUAGAUUAUUGCUUAAACCCUGUUUUCCUAUGUUUCGUGAACGAGAGUUGAGAUUAGGAAGUGGUAGAGUUAUGGGGGUCUC